UACGGAGGGUGCAAGCGUUUAUCCGGAUUCACUGGGUUUAAAGGGUGCGUAGGUGGGUUGGUAAGUCAGUGGUGAAAUCUCCGGGCUUAACCUGGAAACUGCCAUUGAUACUAUCAAUCUUGAAUACCUUGGAGGUGAGCGGAAUAUGUCAUGUAGCGGUGAAAUGCUUAGAUAUGACAUAGAACACCAAUUGCGAAGGCAGCUCACUACACGGUCAUUGACACUGAGGCACGGAAAGCGUGGGGAUCAAACAGG
rnacentral:rRNA from 1 species